rnacentral:lncRNA from 1 species
CUCCCAUCUGACUCCUCACCAGCAACUCCGGCAUGGCUCCCCUGGACCCUUUCUCAACCCUUCUGGCCCAGAUCAGGAAAAACAUCACACUGAAGGAUCAUGUACCAGCUGCAGUCCUUUAGAUCCUCUGGUGAAACACCCGCAGCCAUGCAUUGAGGACAAUGAGGGCCAGGGCCUUAUCAAAGUUCUCCAGAUCUGCAAGAUAAAAGAAUCAUCAAUUUGAUUUGCUAAGCAUAUAAACAACAAAUCCCCCAG